ACGUAGGGCGCGAGCGUUGUCCGAAAUUAUUGGGCGUAAAGAGCCCGUAGGCGGCUUGUCGCGUCGGUUGUGAAAGCCCGGGGCUUAACCCCGGGUCUGCAGUCGAUACGGGCAGGCUAGAGUUCGGUAGGGGAGAUCGGAAUUCCUGGUGUAGCGGUGAAAUGCGCAGAUAUCAGGAGGAACACCGGUGGCGAAGGCGGAUCUCUGGGCCGAUACUGACGCUGAGGAGCGAAAGCGUGGGGAGCGAACAGGA
rnacentral:rRNA from 1 species